AGAGCUUCUCGGCCUUUUGGCUAAGAUUAAGUGUAGUAUCUGUUCUUAUCAGUUUCCAAAGAGGGCGCUGUGCUACUCCCAAAGGGUCAGGGCUAUGCAAAACCGAUGGUGUAAUGGUACCUGGACGGCCUGUCUUGAUAGGGGCCACAUUCAGUGCUCCUAAGGUUCUGGAGGCCAACGAUG